CCUACGGGAGGCAGCAGUGAGGAAUAUUGGUCAAUGGCCGGAAGGCUGAACCAGCCAUGCCGCGUGAAGGUCAGUGCCCUAUGGGCGUUAAACUUCUUUUGUGCGGGAGCAAUAAUGGUCACGUGUGGCAAGACGAGGGUACCGUACGAAUAAGCAUCGGCUAACUCCGUGCCAGCAGCCGCGGUAAUACGGGGGAUGCAAGCGUUAUCCGGAUUUAUUGGGUUUAAAGGGGGCGUAGGAUGGGAGGUAAGUCAGGGGGUAAAUGCCCCCGGUCAACGGGGUGAAGUGCCAUUGAUACUGCCUUGCUGGAAUGCAGAGGCGGUGGGAGGAAUUCGUGGUGUAGCGGUGAAAUGCAUAGAUAUCAGGCAGAACACCGGUUGCGAAGGCAUCUUACGAAUCCGCGAUUGACGCUGAUGCACGAAAGCGUGGGUAGCAAACAGGAUUAGAUACCCGAGUAGUC
rnacentral:rRNA from 1 species